AUACGGAGGGUGCGAGCGUUAAUCGGAAUUACUGGGCGUAAAGCGUACGUAGGCGGUUGGUUAAGUUAGAUGUGAAAGCCCCGGGCUUAACCUGGGAACUGCAUUUAAAACUGGCGAACUAGAGUUGAGUAGAGGGGAGUGGAAUUUCAGGUGUAGCGGUGAAAUGCGUAGAGAUAUGAAGGAACACCAGUGGCGAAGGCGACUCCCUGGACUCGAACUGACGCUGAGGUACGAAAGCGUGGGUAGCAAACGGGAGUAGAAACCCGAGUAGUCC
rnacentral:rRNA from 1 species